rnacentral:rRNA from 1 species
CCUUGUACACACCGCCCGUCACGCCAUGGAAGCUGGAGGGACCCGAAACCGGUGUGCCAACCGCAAGGGGGCAGCCGUCUAAGGUCAAUUCAGUGACUGGGGCG